UCUGAGGGGUACCAAAGUGCUCACAGUGCAGGUAGUCUGGGCUUUUCUCUACUGUAGUGUGGGCACUUCCGGUAACCCUCGGA
rnacentral:pre_miRNA from 12 species